rnacentral:rRNA from 1 species
UACGUAGGGGGCAAGCGUUGUCCGGAAUCAUUGGGCGUAAAGCGCGUGUAGGCGGUCCGGUAAGUCCGCUGUGAAAGUCGGGGGCUCAACCCUCGGAUGCCGGUGGAUACUGUCGGGCUUGAGUACGGAAGAGGCGAGUGGAAUUCCUGGUGUAGCGGUGAAAUGCGCAGAUAUCAGGAGGAACACCAAUUGCGAAGGCAGCUCGCUGGGACGUUACUGACGCUGAGGCGCGAAAGCGUGGGGAGCGAACCGG